GUCAUCUUUUGGCGGACCACUGGGGGGGUUUGGCGGACCACACUUUGAGAAUUACUGCAUUAGGUGGACGGCUUUAUCCAAAGCAUAUACUUUUUAUUAGUAUGUGUGCUCCUUGGUUAUUUAGCCCAUAACCUCUUUUCAGCCUUGUUUGUUUUAUUUUUAUGUAUAUACACUGUAAAACCUAACAGUGUAAGUCACUUAACGAAAUUAGUUUUUUAAACUUAUUAUUUUUUAAAGUUAAUUUCACUUAAUAAAAACUGUGAUAUGAACUCAAAAACUGCAAAUGAUUAACCAUAACUUAAACCAAAUAAGUAAGCAACAGCCAGGACACAGAUAUGAAGAGCUAACAGGUAAGCACUGCAAACUCUUUCAACCUUUUUAAAGCAUCUUUAAACUUUAAAAACAUGUUGUUUGUCGUGACUCUACAUUGUAAUACUCACCCGGUUACAGUAAUUUGUGUAAUGUUGGACAUACGAUAAAACAACAUGACAUUGACACAGCAAUUUGACCUCAGACUCAUUUUUAUCAGCAGAUUAGUGUGCUUUGAGUACACCACAGUUCUGUAAGUGAAAAAUUAAUUCAUAUUUAUGUGUGUUUCUUUCUCAGUAAGGAUUAACUUUAACUGACUGUCUGUAUGUCUGUUCUCAACCAAACGGUCAUUCAAGACCUUUUAAAGCAAAAACAUUUCCCGUGCAAGUUUGAAUCUCUCUCAGUAAGGACUAAUUGACUGGCUGUCUGUUCUCGACCAAACGAUCAUUCUUACUCAUAAAAAACUUUUAAAGCACAAGUGUGUCCCGCGCAAGUUUGAAUUUCUCUCAGUAAGGACUGACGGACGGCCAUUCACUCAUAAAACCUUUAAAAAGGGAACAUUAUCACAUUUGUUAUGUUAAGUACACCACAGUUCUUUCAUUGGGAAAUUAAUUCAUAUUUGUGUAUGUUUUCUUACUGUUUAGCACAAGUGUUUCCCGCGCAAAUUAGAAUUUCUCUCAGUAAGGACUGACGGAUGGCCAUUCACUCAUAAAACCUUUUAAAGGUUAGCACGAAUGCAUCCAGCAUAAUUUUGGAUCACCAUUGAGGAGACUGGCUGACUGUUCUCAAACAACCAUCAUUCACACGCAAAAACUUUAAAGGUACCACA